rfam:Otolemur garnettii contig139043, whole genome shotgun sequence.
UUCCUUGUUUGUUUAAUUAAGGAAAUCCUUCCUUGUUCUGUUAAUUAAACUUUGGGACAUUGAAAUGGGAUAGUGAAAAUGACUGGGUAGAAGGCAUUAUUCUAUUCAUUUAUCUUCUAGCCUUACAAAA